rnacentral:rRNA from 1 species
UACAGAGGGUGCUAGCGUUGUUCGGAAUCAUUGGGCGUAAAGGGCGUGUAGGCGGUUUGUUAAGUCAUGUGUGAAAUCCCUCGGCUCAACCGGGGAACGACGCAUGAAACUGGCAAGCUAGAGUACCGAAGAGGGGGGUGGAAUUCCCGGUGUAGCGGUGAAAUGCGUAGAUAUUGGGAGGAACACCAGUGGCGAAGGCGGCUACCUGGACCGGUUCUGACGCUGAGGCGCGAAAGCGUGGGUAGCAAACAGG